AGCAGUCGCCGCGGUAAUACAGAGGGUGCGAGCGUUAAUCGGAUUUACUGGGCGUAAAGCGUGCGUAGGCGGCUAAUUGAGUCGGAUGUGAAAUCCCCGAGCUUAACUUGGGAAUUGCAUUCGAUACUGGUUAGCUAGAGUGUGGGAGAGGAUGGUAGAAUUCCAGGUGUAGCGGUGAAAUGCGUAGAGAUCUGGAGGAAUACCGAUGGCGAAGGCAGCCAUCUGGCCUAACACUGACGCUGAGGUACGAAAGCAUGGGGAGCAAACAGGAUUAGAUACCCCGGUAGUCCCUGUCUCUUAUAA
rnacentral:rRNA from 1 species